rnacentral:lncRNA from 1 species
AGCACAUUCUAGUCUAAAAGGCAGAGGAAAAACUAGAAAAAUACUAGAAACAAAUACUAUAACAUGCAUAUAGUAUAUGAAGAGAUAGAAUACACACAGAGAGAUGCAAGACUACAACUCUAAUUACCUUAGGAGGCUGAGGCAGGAAGAUCACAGGUUUGAGGCCAGGUGGCAGAACACUGUUUUUCAAACAAAAGCAAGCGAGCAAGCUCAGUCAAUACAGUGCUUACCAGACAGAGGUGAAGAUCUGAGUUGAACUCCCAGGAUUCCCGUGAGAGGCUGGGUGUGGUGGAGUACUGGCGGGGAUGGGGAUGGGGGCAGUGACAGGAGAGCCUCUGCACCUGUUGGCCAGCCAGCUUAACCUUAUUAACAAGGAGGCUCUCCUCGGGUCUCUCAGGAUCCUAAGGACACCAGAGUUUGACAUGUAUGCACACACAUGUGCACUCAGUGUAGCAUGAAUAUGCACAUAUACAAAACAAGUUACAAAAAAAAAAAAGAGAUUUAUCUUUUUAAUUUAUGGGUUUGCUUGUGAGUUUAUGUGCAGCACGUACAUACAAGAGGCCAGAAGAGGGCAUCAGAUCCCCUGGAACCUGAGUUACAAGUGGUUGUGAACAGCUUCAUAUGGGAACUAGAGAUACACUCAUCUGAAAGAGCAAUAAACAUGCUUAAUCAGACCCCAAGUCAAAAAAAAAAAUUUUUUUUAAAGAAAAAGAUCCAGAACCUGGCAUGGUGGCACAUGACUUUAAUCCCUUGAAAAGCAGAGACAGGUGAUCUCUGUGAGUUCAAAGCCAGCCAGAUCUGCUUCGUGAGUGCCAAGUAGCCAGGGCUAAAUAGUGAGACCCUGUCUCAAAAACAAACAAAACUAAAUAAACAUCAACAAUGCUAAAACAAGGGCAGUGGUGGCCCACGCCUUUAAUCUCAGCCCUUGGGAGGCAGAGGCAGGCAAAUUUCUGAGUUCAAGGCCAACCUGAUCUACAGAAUGAGUUCAAGACAGCCAGGGCUACACAGAGAAACCCUGUCUCAUGAGAAGAAAAAAAAAACAACUAAAACAAAGCUAAAAAUGAUGCUAAAUAAAAUGUUAACAAUGUUAAAGUGGUAAGAAGCAUAAAGCAAGGAAACUAGAGGUCAAAUAGGGUUAUUUACGCAGCUGGGAGACAGAAGCCUCGUGGAGACCUGAUGGGGAAAGAGACAAGGAUGGCCAGCGUGUCAAAGCAGAGCCCAUCUCAGUGUGUCUACGGAACAAGCAUCGAGGAGCCCAGUGUGGCUAGAGAACCCGUGCAAGACCUUAGACUUUUAUUCUGACUGGAAAGGGAAGCUAUCAAGUUUUGGGGUUUGGUUUGGUUUUAGAUUUAUGUGCACGAGUGUUUUGUCUCCAUGUAUGUCUGUGUGUCACAUACAUGGUAUAGUGCCUGUGAGGCCAGAGUGCCAUGUAUGUAUGUGUGCCACAUACAUGGUAUAGUGCCUGCGAGGCCAGCCUAGGGCACUGGAUUGUCUACAGCUGGAGUGACAGAGUGUUGG